rnacentral:rRNA from 1 species
CCUAGGGUGGUAGCAGUGGGGGAGAGUGCACAAGGGGGGGAACCCCGAGGCAGCGACGACGAGUGGGUGAAGGAGCGUUUCGGGGCGUAAAGCCCUAUCGGCAGGGAAGAAGAUGACGGUACCUGACCAAGAAGCCCCGGCUAACUACGUGCCAGCAGCCGCGGUAAUACGUAGGGGGCAAGCGUUAUCCGGAUUUACUGGGUGUAAAGGGAGCGUAGACGGCAGCACAAGUCUGGAGUGAAAUCCCGGGGCUUAACCCCGGAACUGCUUUGGAAACUGUGCGGCUGGAGUGCAGGAGGGGUAAGCGGAAUUCCUAGUGUAGCGGUGAAAUGCGUAGAUAUUAGGAGGAACACCGGUGGCGAAGGCGGCUUACUGGACUGUAACUGACGUUGAGGCUCGAAAGCGUGGGGAGCAAACAGGAUUAGAUACCCUGGUAGUC